CUUCAAAUACAGCUGAUUUUUAGAGGUCAGAUGAACUGUGACUGAGCGUGAUGGGAAACGUGGCUCUCCCUUCACUGAUGGGUAGCUGACUUGACCUCCCCCCAUGCUCUCUGGCAGUCUUGUGGGAGCUGCUGGGUGAGCUGCUGACUGCUGCAGAGCCUGCCAGACUAGGGACUCGGACAGCGGGGAUUUUCAGUUUGAUUGACACCCUAUGGCCCCCAGCGAUACCUCUGAAAACACCUGGCCGCGACCAGCCCUGUGAAGAGAUAAAAACUCAUCUGCCUCCUCCAGCCUUGUGUUACAUCCUCACAGCUCAUCCAAAUCUGGGACAAAUUGAUAUAAUUGACGAAGACCCCAUUUAUAAGCUUUACCAGCCUCCAGUUACCCGCUGCUUAAGAGACAUUCUCCAGAUGAAUGAUCUUGGUACCCGUUGCAGCUUCUAUGCCACAGUGAUUUACCAAAAACCACAGCUGAAGAGUCUGCUUCUUCUGGAGCAAAGGGAGAUCUGGCUGCUAGUGACCGAUGUCACUCUGCAAACGAAGGAGGAGAGAGACCCCAGGCUCCCCAAAACCCUGCUGGUCUAUGUGGCCCCCUUGUGUGUGCUGGGCUCUGAAGUCCUGGAGGCACUCGCUGGGGCUGCCCCUCACAGCCUCUUCUUCAAGGACGCUCUCCGUGACCAGGGUCGGAUUGUUUGUGCUGAACGAACUGUCCUCUUGCUUCAGAAGC
rnacentral:sRNA from 1 species